AUUGAACGCUGGCGGCAUGCUUUACACAUGCAAGUCGAACGGUAACAGGCCUUCGGGUGCUGACGAGUGGCGAACGGGUGAGUAAUGCAUCGGAACGUACCCAGAGGUGGGGGAUAACGCAGCGAAAGCUGUGCUAAUACCGCAUGUGAUCUGAGGAUGAAAGCGGGGGACCGAGCAGCAAUGUUUGGCCUCGCGCCUUUGGAGCGGCCGAUGUCGGAUUAGCUAGUUGGUGGGGUAAAGGCCUACCAAGGCGACGAUCCGUAGCUGGUCUGAGAGGACGAGCAGCCACACUGGGACUGAGACACGGCCCAGACUCCUACGGGAGGCAGCAGUGGGGAAUUUUGGACAAUGGGCGCAAGCCUGAUCCAGCAAUGCCGCGUGGGGGAAGAAGGCCUUCGGGUUGUAAACCGCUUUUGGCAGGAACGAAACGGUGUCCGCUAAUACCGGGCGCUAAUGACGGUACCUGCAGAAUAAGCACCGGCUAACUACGUG
rnacentral:rRNA from 1 species